UAGUACAUUAGCUGGUCAGAUGGUAGUCUUGAAGAAAACAGGUCAAGGAAUUGGAUUUUAUGUUUUUUGUUAAUUGUGUUGGCUUCAAGUCUUUCUCUGCAUUUGAAUCAAAGGAAGUGGGCAUUUGUAUCUGAUUGAUGCGUUCAUGGAAGUUUAAACUACAAAGACAAGUGUUACGGAAAGUCAAGCUCCUAAGUUAGAAGUUUUACGUUUUAUCGUACUAGAUAGCUUGGUUUAUUUCAGCAUAUAUUAGAAGUUUUUUGAAUGUUUGUAUCAAAAUAUUCUACUUUAAUGGAUAUUAAAUUUCAGCAUGAUAUUUUUUUAAUAUAUUCAUUUAGCUGUUAAAUUCUUGGAAACUUUAGUUGUCCAGGAAGCUCUCCUUUUUUUUCUUUUUUCUUUUUCUUUUUUUUUAAUUUCAGUUGUACAACUCUUGACGGCUAAGAACCGUCAAGAAAGAUUUAUUAAAUGUCAGGAAAUAUAUUUGUUGAUGCUUAUUAAGUGACAA